rnacentral:rRNA from 1 species
UUAAGUUAUUAAGGGCGCACGGUGGAUGCCUUGGCACUAGAAGCCGAUGAAGGACGUUACUAACGACGAUAUGCUUUGGGGAGCUGUAAGUAAGCUUUGAUCCAGAGAUUUCCGAAUGGGGAAACCCAGCAUGAGUUAUGUCAUGUUAUCGAUAUGUGAAUACAUAGCAUAUCAGAAGGCACACCCGGAGAACUGAAACAUCUUAGUACCCGGAGGAAGAGAAAGAAAAUUCGAUUCCCUUAGUAGCGGCGAGCGAAAAGGGAAGAGCCCAAACCAACAAGCUUGCUUGUUGGGGUUGUAGGACACUCUAUACGGAGUUACAAAGGACGACAUUAGACGAAUCAUCUGGAAAGAUGAAUCAAAGAAGGUAAUAAUCCUGUAGUCGAAAAUGUUGUCUCUCUUGAGUGGAUCCUGAGUACGACGGAGCACGUGAAAUUCCGUCGGAAUCUGGGAGGACCAUCUCCUAAGGCUAAAUACUCUCUAGUGACCGAUAGUGAACCAGUACCGUGAGGGAAAGGUGAAAAGCACCCCGGAAGGGGAGUGAAAUAGAACCUGAAACCGUGUGCUUACAAGUAGUCAGAGCCCGUUAAUGGGUGAUGGCGUGCCUUUUGUAGAAUGAACCGGCGAGUUACGAUUUGAUGCAAGGUUAAGCAGUAAAUGUGGAGCCGUAGCGAAAGCGAGUCUGAAUAGGGCGUUUAGUAUUUGGUCGUAGACCCGAAACCAGGUGAUCUACCCUUGGUCAGGUUGAAGUUCAGGUAACACUGAAUGGAGGACCGAACCGACUUACGUUGAAAAGUGAGCGGAUGAACUGAGGGUAGCGGAGAAAUUUCAAUCGAACCUGGAGAUAGCUGGUUCUCUCCGAAAUAGCUUUAGGGCUAGCCUCAAGUGAUGAUUAUUGGAGGUAGAGCACUGUUUGGACGAGGGGCCCCUCUCGGGUUACCGAAUUCAGACAAACUCCGAAUGCCAAUUAAUUUAACUUGGGAGUCAGAACAUGGGUGAUAAGGUCCGUGUUCGAAAGGGAAACAGCCCAGACCACCAGCUAAGGUCCCAAAAUAUAUGUUAAGUGGAAAAGGAUGUGGCGUUGCCCAGACAACUAGGAUGUUGGCUUAGAAGCAGCCAUCAUUUAAAGAGUGCGUAAUAGCUCACUAGUCGAGUGACACUGCGCCGAAAAUGUACCGGGGCUAAACAUAUUACCGAAGCUGUGGAUUGUCCUUUGGACAAUGGUAGGAGAGCGUUCUAAGGGCGUUGAAGCAUGAUCGUAAGGACAUGUGGAGCGCUUAGAAGUGAGAAUGCCGGUGUGAGUAGCGAAAGACGGGUGAGAAUCCCGUCCACCGAUUGACUAAGGUUUCCAGAGGAAGGCUCGUCCGCUCUGGGUUAGUCGGGUCCUAAGCUGAGGCCGACAGGCGUAGGCGAUGGAUAACAGGUUGAUAUUCCUGUACCACCUAUAAUCGUUUUAAUCGAUGGGGGGACGCAGUAGGAUAGGCGAAGCGUGCGAUUGGAUUGCACGUCUAAGCAGUAAGGCUGAGUAUUAGGCAAAUCCGGUACUCGUUAAGGCUGAGCUGUGAUGGGGAGAAGACAUUGUGUCUUCGAGUCGUUGAUUUCACACUGCCGAGAAAAGCCUCUAGAUAGAAAAUAGGUGCCCGUACCGCAAACCGACACAGGUAGUCAAGAUGAGAAUUCUAAGGUGAGCGAGCGAACUCUCGUUAAGGAACUCGGCAAAAUGACCCCGUAACUUCGGGAGAAGGGGUGCUCUUUAGGGUUAACGCCCAGAAGAGCCGCAGUGAAUAGGCCCAAGCGACUGUUUAUCAAAAACACAGGUCUCUGCUAAACCGUAAGGUGAUGUAUAGGGGCUGACGCCUGCCCGGUGCUGGAAGGUUAAGAGGAGUGGUUAGCUUCUGCGAAGCUACGAAUCGAAGCCCCAGUAAACGGCGGCCGUAACUAUAACGGUCCUAAGGUAGCGAAAUUCCUUGUCGGGUAAGUUCCGACCCGCACGAAAGGCGUAACGAUUUGGGCACUGUCUCAACGAGAGACUCGGUGAAAUCAUAGUACCUGUGAAGAUGCAGGUUACCCGCGACAGGACGGAAAGACCCCGUGGAGCUUUACUGUAGCCUGAUAUUGAAAUUCGGCACAGCUUGUACAGGAUAGGUAGGAGCCUUUGAAACGUGAGCGCUAGCUUACGUGGAGGCGCUGGUGGGAUACUACCCUAGCUGUGUUGGCUUUCUAACCCGCACCACUUAUCGUGGUGGGAGACAGUGUCAGGCGGGCAGUUUGACUGGGGCGGUCGCCUCCUAAAAGGUAACGGAGGCGCUCAAAGGUUCCCUCAGAAUGGUUGGAAAUCAUUCAUAGAGUGUAAAGGCAUAAGGGAGCUUGACUGCGAGACCUACAAGUCGAGCAGGGUCGAAAGACGGACUUAGUGAUCCGGUGGUUCCGCAUGGAAGGGCCAUCGCUCAACGGAUAAAAGCUACCCCGGGGAUAACAGGCUUAUCUCCCCCAAGAGUUCACAUCGACGGGGAGGUUUGGCACCUCGAUGUCGGCUCAUCGCAUCCUGGGGCUGUAGUCGGUCCCAAGGGUUGGGCUGUUCGCCCAUUAAAGCGGUACGCGAGCUGGGUUCAGAACGUCGUGAGACAGUUCGGUCCCUAUCCGUCGUGGGCGUAGGAAAUUUGAGAGGAGCUGUCCUUAGUACGAGAGGACCGGGAUGGACAUACCUCUGGUGUACCAGUUGUCGUGCCAACGGCAUAGCUGGGUAGCUAUGUGUGGACGGGAUAAGUGCUGAAAGCAUCUAAGCAUGAAGCCCCCCUCAAGAUGAGAUUUCCCAACUUCGGUUAUAAGAUCCCUCAAAGAUGAUGAGGUUAAUAGGUUCGAGGUGGAAGCAUGGUGACAUGUGGAGCUGACGAAUACUAAUCGAUCGAAGACUUAAUCAA